UACGAAGGGUGCUAGCGUUGUUCGGAAUUACUGGGCGUAAAGCGCGUGUAGGUGGUUCUCACAGCCAGUGGUGAAAUCCCGGAGCUUAACUCCGGAAUUGCCAUUGGUACUAGAGAGCUAGAGUUUGUUAGAGGAAUGUGGAAUUUCUAGUGUAGCGGUGAAAUGCGUAGAUAUUAGAAGGAACACCAGUGGCGAAGGCGACAUUCUGGGACAAUACUGACACUAAGGCGCGAAAGCGUGGGGAGCAAACAGG
rnacentral:rRNA from 1 species